rnacentral:rRNA from 1 species
UCGAGAAUCAUUCGCAAUGGGCGAAAGCCUGACGAUGCGACGCUGUGUGAGUGAAGAAGGCCUUAGGGUCGUAAAGCUCUUUCGCCUGGGAAUAAGAUGAGUUGGCUAAUAUCCAGCGAGUUUGAACGUACCAGGUAAAGAAGCACCGGCUAACUCCGUGCCAGCAGCUGCGGUAAUACGGAGGGUGCAAGCAUUAAUCGGAUUUAUUGGGCGUAAAGGGCGCGUAGGCGGGAGUGUCAGUCAGAUGUGAAAUCCCGGGGCUCAACCUCGGAACAGCAUUUGAAACUACAUUUCUAGAGGGUAGGCGGAGAAAACGGAAUUCCACAAGUAGCGGUGAAAUGCGUAGAUAUGUGGAAGAACACCGGUGGCGAAGGCGGUUUUCUAGCUUAUUCCUGACGCUAAAGCGCGAAAGCAAGGGGAUCAAACA